AAUGAACGUUGGCGGCGUGGAUUAGGCAUGCAAGUCGUGCGGAAAGGCUCCUUCGGGAGUACUCGAGCGGCGUAAGGGAGAGUAACGCGUGGAUAUCUACCCCCUGGACUGGGAUAGCGGCGGGAAACUGCCGGUAAUACCAGAUAAUGUCUGCGGACCAAAGGUGUGAUUCCGCCGGGGGAUGAGUUCGCGUCCUAUUAGCUAGUUGGUAGGGUAAUGGCCGACCAAGGCAAAGAUGGGUACCGGGUGUGAGAGCAUGGCCCGGCUCACUGGGACUGAGACACUGCCCAGACCACUACGGGUGGCUGCAGUCGAGAAGCUUCGGCAAUGGGCGCAAGCCUGACCGAGCGACGCCGCGUGCGGGAUGAAGGCCCUCGGGUUGUAAACCGCUGUCAGAGGGGAGGAAAUGCGUGGGAGUUCUCUCUCACGUUUGACCUAUCCUCAGAGGAAGUACGGGCUAAGUUCGUGCCAGCAGCCGCGGUAACAC
rnacentral:rRNA from 1 species